rnacentral:rRNA from 1 species
CGCGUAGGCGGUGCGGUAAGUCUGUGGUGAAAUCUCUGGGCUCAACUCAGAGUCUGCCAUAGAAACUGCCGUGCUGGAGUGUGGGAGAGGUGAGUGGAACUCCCGGUGUAGCGGUGAAAUGCGUAGAUAUCGGGAGGAACACCUGUGGCGAAAGCGGCUCACUGGACCACAACUGACGCUGAGGCGCGAAAGCUAGGGAGCAAACA